rnacentral:lncRNA from 1 species
CUACUCAUUUUGGAGAGGACCUACGAAUAUAAACUUCAUCAUCAUCUUCAUGGAUAGAAAACCAACGAAAAACUCUAUAGCCUUGAACCAACACCCCAAAACCCUAGCAACCUAGACUCCAUCUCCAGGGUAGCCGCUAGAGCGAAAAACGACCACCCCUCUUCUGAACGUCGUCUUCUCCAAACGACCAGCAGCCGUCGCUGUUUCAACUCCCACGCUUUACCUUCUUCAGCAGCUCGUCGCUGCUCCACCAGCCCGUGACUCAUCCUCCACGUCCGGCCAUGAAACUAGCAACCAACUGUUACGCCAAAACCUCAAAAAAUAAAAACGAAAUCAGCCUUCAAACUCCGUAAACAUGGUAGUUUUGUCUUCUUCACUGUCAAAAAUUUAUGUUUUUCCGGCAUGUUCGAAGUCACUCGAGGUUUUCGCUCGCAGCUCCGGUCCGACGGUCUCGGCGUUGAAAUUUGGUUUCGAUUUUUAGAUUUUACUUCAAAUUGCGAAGAAAUCAAUAAAGGUCAAAUUUCUUAUCUUCAAUUUACGUUAUUAAUCUAUUUUUGCAAGACUUUGCUUAGUAUGUGUUGGUGUUGAUUUACCUAUCUAUAUUGAUUUGAUAAAGAUUGUUUGCACGAAAUGUACUGUUGGAUAGUUUCUUAAAUUAAUCAUGUGUUACUUAGGUGAUAAUUGUGUUGGCUUGUUCCGAUUUAGUGAUUUAUAGUUGAUGUGUUUUCCUUAAGAGUUCAUUAUUUUGCAAAGUGAUUAAUCGAAAGUGGCAGAUAUUUUAUGUAUUUCUUUAGAGAAAUUGAUGAAUUAUUUCAUUACUGAAAGAUUAAAAAUUGUAGCUAUAGUAGAUAUUAGACAUGUAAAUAAUUGUUUAUUGUUGGGAUCUGCAAGAAACAGUAGACGUUAUUCUGUGAAUAUGUGAUUCUGUUGAAUAUGUGAUUUCACAAUUAAUGAUGGCCUUGUAGUGUUUAAAUUAGCUAGUAAAAUAACUAAUCUUUCAUUUGCUCGCCGAUUAGUUAUGAUUCCGUUGUUUGUGUAUUGUUUCUUCGUAGUCUCGAAUUUGCUCGCUUAGUUAUUUGCUCAUAUAUUUACUUAAAUUGGUUAUAGCUGAAUCAUAAUUUCGCACGGUGUAGAAUUGGGUUGCUAUUUAAAGGAAUUCGGGUUUUGAGUUAGGUAGCGGGUUUUAAACUAAAAGGUUCGUCCUUUUGUUUGGACCUCGACUUGAACUUAAGGCCCGAAUUUUAAAUAAUUAAUUAGGAUCUUUCUUUCAUUAUUAGAGACAAAAAAUCAACAAGAUAGAAAAUAUAGUUAUCUUUUAGGUUUAUCCUUUAAAAUAAAAUGAGACGGCUCGCCAACAAAAGUACAAAUUGUGGGGCCCUCAAUAAAGGUUUUAAAAUAUUAGAAAAUCGAGAAGGGCCGUUUAGCGAAUUUCACGGCCCUCACAUAACGCGCUAGACUCUAUUAGGCGCGGCUUUAAUAAAUUACAUUCCUAAAUACGGGUGGGCAUUUUUGCGGUCUAAAUUCAAAUCCUAAAAUGUUGAAUAAAGUGUGCAUAGGAUUGUGGGUUCAUUUGAUGCGGCGCAAUCCGAAAAUACAUUUUAAACGACGUUCACUUUCUCAAUAUUACAUUAAAUAAAAGUUGUUACGCAUAAAAUUGGCACAUAGGCUCUUCAUGUAAUAAAAUCAGACAAAAUUUAAAUACAACAGUUCUUCUGGGUUAAUUCUAAUUCCUUAUUCGGAUUUCUGGUUCGCAGACUGUGAGCAGAGUCAUCUUUUUCCUCGGUUCGGGAUUCAACCGGUGACUUGGGACACCAUUUAUCUCCCAAGUGGCAACUCUGAAUAAAUAAUAAUAAAAUUUUGUUCCGAUUUUCCUUUAAGUGGAAAACUCCUUUACACCCCUUUACGGGGGUGUAUAGCAGAAAAAGGAGGUGUGACAGAUGUGCUGAGUAGGAAGUCAGCCAGUAUAGACGGUCUGGCUUAUAUUCCGGUCAGCCAGAGACCGCCUGCGUUGAAUUUUCAGUCCUUGACCAAUCAAUUUGUAAGGUUGGAUAUUUCUGAGCCUAGUUGGAUGUUAACUUGCACGGUCACACGGUUUUAUUAUUGGAGCGUAUCCAUGAUCGACAGUUUGAUGGUCCCAAUUUAUUUUUCCUUAGAGACAGUGCAUCAUGGAAGUGGCAAGCAGGUGGACCUUAGGUGAUGAUGGUGUUUUGAGAUUAAAGGGGCGAGUUUGUGUGCCAAAUGUUGAUGGGAUUCAAGAGCUGAUCUUAGCAGAGGCCUAUAGUUCCUGGUUUUCUAUUCACCUGGGCACCAUGAAGAUGUAUCAGGAUCUUAGGCACUGUUAUUGGUGGCAUAUAAUGAAGAAAGAUAUAGUUGCAUAUGUGGCUCGAUGUUUGAACUGCCAGCAAGGUAAGUAUGAGUACUAGAGGCCUGAUGGAUUGUUUUAGAGGAUUCAGCUUCUCGAGUGGAAGUGGGAGGGGAUUACUAUAUAUUUCUUUUUUUAGAUUUCCAUUAACACAGAAAAAGUUCGAUGUAGUUUGGGUCAUUGUUGAUAGGCUAACCAAGUCAGCGCAUUCCAUUCUUGUUGCAGCCACCUAUUCAUCCAAGAGGUUAGCUGAGGUCUAUAUCUGGGAAAUCGUUCGUCUUCAUAGUGUGCCGAUAUCUAUUAUUUCAGACUGGGUACGCAGUUACCUCGUGCUUUUGGAGAGAAGUUCAUCAAGAGUUGGGCACUCAGGUAGAGUUGAGUAGAGCAUUUCAUG